UUGCAGGAUGUGGAACUUGAGCUUCGAAAUUCUUCAGAGUGAAUGAUGUAUUGAUGCAACCCUUUGGAUGCAAUUCUCAUCAAGGGUAAGAAAAGGAAGGACACUGAAUGAAUUUAAACAGGAGACCUAGGAGAACAGGGCACAAAAAAAGAAAGAAAAUUCAUAAGAUAGCGUAGAGGUUAAGGAGCAGACUGGCGAGUCAAAUGUUACUGAAGCUGUGGAGAUGGAGAACACAUGCAUUGUUCCUGACAGAGAAGACUUCCCGGUGGAUGUGAAUGCUAUGUUUUUUUAUCAUCAAGUCAUACAGUGAAGACGAUGUGCACAAGAGCAUCAAAUAUAAUGUUUGGGCUAGCACACCAAAUGGAAACAAGAAGCUUGCUGCGGCAUUCCAGGACCUCGAGGUCAACUCAAGUGGAUAAUUUGUUGGGAACUGAUAGGACAGUUGAUUUCGACACAAAUGUGGAGUACUGGCAGCAAGACAAGUAGACAGGCUGUUUCCCUCUCAAGUGGCAUAUUGAGAAGGAUGUUGCAAACAGUUUGCUGAAACCUAUUACCCUUGAGAACAAUGAAAUCAAGGCUGUUACCAACUCUAGAGACACCCAAGAGUUGGAGCAAGUUUUGAAGUUUGUGAAAAUUAUUAAGAAGCAUACGAGCAAGAAUUGCAUAUUGGAUGGCUUUUGAAGAAAGCCAAGCAACAGCCAACCCAUAAACAGCUAAGUGAGGAGAAUAGUACAGAGGAUGAGAAAAGAAAUCUGCCACUGCUGAUCCGGCUCAUAAGGAAUCUCUUACAGCUGCUCAAACUACCGGUGAUGUCAAGGUUGAUGAGAAUGGAUCUGUUUCUAAACUAGUUGAUGUGGUGGCAAAUGGUUGCUAGAAAUAUUUGUGGGUGCUGUUCACGGCUUGAGCAUAAACACAACGAGAGAGAAGGUUUCUCUUGAGGCCUGAGCAUAAACGCAACGAGAGAGAAGGUCUCUUGAGAAUGAGUGCCGUGAGCUUUGAAGCAAGGAGGAGCUUUGGUACCUAAGACCAAGAACUGUUUCUUUUCCCUUAGAAAUUAAAUCAUAUUUUUCACAUCUUUUUUUGUGUUUUGGUUUUCAAUUGUCUUUACAAUUUUCUGUUUUUUUAAUGGCUUUUUCAUUUUCUGUUGAUGCUACUACUACCCUGUAAAAUUGCUUAAUAUGACCUACUAAAUAGUGGGAAGUAUAGAGAAAAAGGAGAUAAAAGCAGGGUGGAUUUGUUUUCAUUUCUGUUGGAUUUUAGGCA